CAACUGGAUUAGUGUUUGAUUGGAUUGGGGCAAGGGCAUGUCUGAAUUGUUUCCACCCCCAUCUUGGAACUAUUUCUUUGUUCUGUUCCCAGGUGAUGAUAAGACGAUGUGGUCGGCUAUAAAAACUCUGUACCCUGGCUGUUUGAGGCUGCACUCUGAUCAAGAGUGUGGUCACGAUCAGUUGGCCUUGCCUCUCAUUGCAAUAAACUUUGCUGUGACUG